AAUGUUUCCAAGUUUCCUUUCUCUCGCCGGAAAUGUAUAUAAACGUACGCAUGUUAGAAAGCAAAACCAAAACACUAAACAGCGAUUAUACAGUACACGGUUACGAUGAGACAAGGUUCAAUAUCACAGAACGCGGUGAUGGAUUCGAUUAUUAAUUGGGAACAAUGGAAAAUAAUGAACGAGACGAGGUGGAAAAACUGAAAUCGAUGUUUGUGUCGGCAUGGCACAAUGUACAGUACAGUUGGAUACUGAAAACAAAGACUUAUUUUAGCAGGAAUUCGCCUGUUUUUCUGUUGGGAAAAUGUUAUCAUUUUAAGGCAGAAGAAGCCUCUGUGGAGAGCGUCACAGGGAGCUGCAGUGGCGAGGCCUCGGAAAGGGAGCUUGUUAUCGGCAGCGUGGUGGAGUUUCGUAGGGACUUUGCCUCUCGAAUCUGGCUGACGUACCGAGAGCAGUUCCCUCAGAUCCAGGGCUCCAGCUUCACCUCAGACUGCGGCUGGGGCUGCACACUCCGGACUGGGCAGAUGCUGCUGGCUCAGGGCCUGGUGCUUCAUCUCCUAGGCAGAGACUGGACCUGGUCUCAUGCCUUAAAGAUGGACGGACUGGACACCGAGUCAUGGACCGCCAGCGCAGCCAGGAAGCUUGUUUCCUCUUUCGAGUCAUCGUUUCAGGGACCGAAACCCCUAGAGAGCCCCGCUCGAGCUCCUGGGAGAGUGGAGGAAGCAAGCACCCACCUGAACUGUGUUUAUCACCGCAAAAUAGUGUCCUGGUUUGCGGACUGUCCUGCGGCGCAGAUUGGUGUGCACAGGCUCAUUGAGCUCGGGCACGCGUCUGGAAAGUCAGCUGGGGACUGGUAUGGGCCAGCCUUGGUCGCCCACAUACUCGGAAAAGCUGUUAAGGAAGCAACAGACCCUGAAUUACAAGGCAUAACAGUUUACGUUGCUCAGGACUGCACAGUUUACAGUGCUGAUGUUAUUGAUAGCCUCCAGAAACCUGCUCAGGGCCCAGAAACUGAAACCAGAGUCAACAGAAAAGCUGUAAUUAUCCUUAUACCUGUGAGGCUUGGCGGAGAAAAAACCAACCCGGAAUACUUUGACUUUGUAAAGGGCAUUUUAAGUCUUGAAUAUUGCAUUGGGAUCAUUGGUGGAAAGCCCAAACAGGCGUAUUACUUCGUUGGAUUUCAAGAUGACAGUUUGAUUUACAUGGAUCCUCAUUACUGCCAGUCUUUUGUAGAUGUCAGCAUGAACGGUUUCCCACUCGAGUCAUUCCACUGUCCCUCGCCUAAAAAAAUGUCAUUUACUAAAAUGGACCCAAGCUGCACCAUCGGGUUUUACACAAGAAGUGUACAAGACUUUGAAAAGAUCAGUGAAGAAAUAGCAAAGGUGCUCAAACCCUCAUCUAAAGAGAAGUACCCAGCGUUUACCUUCGUAAAAGGCCAUGGGCGUGAUUAUGAUUAUGAACAAAGUGAGUCGACUUCAGAAGGGGAACCAAGGCAUCCAAAAUACAGCCCAGGAGAUUUUGUGUUGCUGUGAGGAUACAGCCGGCACACGACUGUGGAGUUCUUCAGUGCAGAGGAGCGAGGAGGAAACUCUUUGGGCCACCUUUUCAAAGCGUUUACUCAGCUCCGGCUCUCGUGUGAAGUGGCAGGCACACCACAUUCCUUGCAGGAUGACAGAGCUGCCAGUUUCAAUAGAGGAUCCUGCUAUCUGAGGGGAAGGCUUGGUUUGCAAAGGAGCUUUGCAAGAGCUGGUUAGGUUUUUAUUUUCUAAACUUUUUAGCAUCAAUCAGUUAAAGUGGCCGGUGGCGACGGCAACAUGAAAACAAUGUUUAAUUCCUUGUUAAGCACAGAUUGCAGAUAACAGGCCGCUGUGAGGAUCUCUUGAUAACAAGUGAUUACACUUGCUUAGUCCGUAUGUCUUUCUUUCACUGCUGAGAACGACACGCACACAGACUAGAAGCGUUCCCAUUUGCCCCGGAUAUUGGAUUGCAGCAAUUUUUUUAAAAGGCGAGGUCAUCUCCAAUUGCGGCUUGUGCAUUCAGACACAGCCCCUGCGCGGGAUCAUCCGGUUUUAAUCUAAAGACAGAACAGAAAAAAAACAUGCCGAUCUGGACCAAGGGAUAUAAAUCUCCCGAGAAACAAAUGGACGCAGAUUAAACUCUAAAAGUUAUUCAAAUUCCCAUCGAGACAGAUUUAUUAAUCUGCCUUUUCCUAAGUGCAUAGCAUUCAGUAAAGUCUGGUAAGACACAUCAAGUGCUGUGCUAUGCAGCAGCAGUAACCGCUCACAUUUAGCACAUACAGUGAAGGGCUCUGGAACUAAAGCUUUGUUCUUGACGACAGAAUGCAUUAUUAUUCCCCUUAUUAAUUUCCAUUUCUUUAGCAGUCUUGUUUACAUUUUAAAUAAAUUUUUUUCCCCCCUUAUUUAAAAAACAAAAAACUGUUGAGUAAUCUCGUAGUUGUCCUUGCGUAGAUAAUAACAGUUAGCAGUACAAGGUUGUUUUUUUUGUUUUUUUUUUCUAAUCAGAGUGUGAAGUUGCUGUGUAUGAGCGGUAGAGUUAUAGAUUAUGUUGAGAAGUCUGAUUUGACAUUUCCAUUUCAGAGCACCAUUUAACAUCUCUUUAAAAAUAAUGGCACAGUUAUGUGCUUAGUAAAAAAUACCACUGUGACAAACAAUCCAUUCUUUUAGAGCAUCUUUUUUCUUUUUAAUUGUGAGCUCAAGUCUAUACGAUUUGAACUCAGCAUAACCUUUACAGCAAUCCUAAAGAUCCCCAUUGAAAAUGAGAUACCAUAUCUGCUAUCUCACGGAAAUAGUUAGCUAUCUCUAUGCACAAUAUUAUUAUUAUUAUUAUUAUUAUUAUUAUUAUUAUUAUUAUUAUUCGUGGUGUAUUGGAUACUUUGGAGUUUUGAUUUUCUCACGUGACCCUAUUGAUAACUUGAGAUAGCAAACCUUUUUAAUCAAAUCAAUAAAAGCUUGACUAGAAAAAAAAACAAAAAACAUUCUGCUUGUACACUUAAUGCAAACGAUGCUGAUCGUUUUGGACUGGCCCCUAAAACAAGCCAUUACCCGUGUGACACAUUGUAAGGAGAUACGUCUGUGUAGCACUACAGUACAUUGUGCUGCAUUGCAAUGCAGAGGAGGAACGCACUAUCGUGAAUGUCUGUCUGUUAGACCGUCAGUGCUAUCGGCACGGCACCCUUGUUGUGCUGUAGAAUUAGACAGUAAGAGUUUGUUUACAGCUAGACCUCCAUUUCACAUCCCGCUGCUUUACUCAAACCUGGAUUACACACAGUUAACUAUUUCAUCUGAAAUGGGCUCCUUGUGAAAAAGGCAAUCACUCAACUCUGCAAACAGUAUACAGUACAUCCUGUAGACCUCAAUCGAUAUCUGAUGGAUUGUUGAGUUGUCAUCUCCCAGUGUGGUAUAUUGUACACAAUGGGGUUUUUUGCUGGAUUAGUGUACAGUUUGUAUCGCUUGCCUAUAUAGUGCUUGUCUUUGCUUUGCCAUGCUUGCACUAGUCUUUAUCAAGCUUUGCUGUGCUUUCACUAGAUUUUUGUAAGGGUAGAAAUGCCAUGCUGAAAGUGCUUGUUAGCAGUGCUGCCACUGCCCCAGCAUGAGAGACGCUUCCUCAAAUGAGCUUCUGCUUGUAAUGCAACUGCUUACGCCAGUGUGCAGGAUCUAAACCCAUUCCUUAGGUACUCCAGUUGUGUAAACAGGUAGUCACUGUAACAGUGUAUCCUGCAGCCCCCUCCUCUGUGAUUGAAAGCCCAGUGAAUGGGUAACUCAUUACAGGACAGGACUGUUGUUAUUAAUACAGUUCGCAAAACACUUUACAUUUUUUUUUUUUUUAAUCCAGAUUUAAUUAAUCCUUUUUAAACUACCGCUAAUUAAACCAUGUCUAAAUUCUAAUUGCUUUUUUGCUUGUACAUGCUACAGUAACAUUAUUACUGUUGUUUCAUUUACAAUUUCUCAUCUGAAUUGAGGGUUCUUCAUCUUAGAGCCUGAAAGCCAAGCACAUUGAGAAGCCAGUCUGCAGAAUAAACCGAUUCAUUCAUUACUCCAUCUAAACACAUAGUCAUUGUUCAAGGGUGGAAAUAAGAUUCCUGUACAUAGCAGUGUCACCCAUUCCAGGUUUUAAUACAAGCUUGAUUAGCCACGGUAUAAAGGUAA